rnacentral:rRNA from 1 species
AGCCUACGGGGCGCAGCAGUGAGGAAUAUUGGUCAAUGGGCGAGAGCCUGAACCAGCCAAGUCGCGUGAGGGAGUACUGCCCUAUGGGUUGUAAACCUCUUUUGUCGGGGAGCAAAAGCCGGACGUGUCCGGCUGUGAGAGUACCCGAAGAAAAAGCAUCGGCUAACUCCGUGCCAGCAGCCGCGGUAAUACGGAGGAUGCGAGCGUUAUCCGGAUUUAUUGGGUUUAAAGGGUGCGUAGGCGGGCAUUUAAGCCGGCGGUCAAAUGUCGGGGCUCAACCCCGGCCUGCCGUCGGAACUGGGUGG